rnacentral:tRNA from 1 species
CCUGGUGGCUCAGAGGGUAAAGCAUCUGCCUGCAAUGCAGGAGAACUAGGUUCGAUCCCUGGGUCAGGA